AGUGAACGCUGGCGGUAGGCCUAACACAUGCCAGUCGAACGGCAGCACAGUAAGAGCUUGCUCUUACGGGUGGCGAGUGGCGGACGGGUGAGGAAUACAUCGGAAUCUACUUUUUCGUGGGGGAUAACGUAGGGAAACUUACGCUAAUACCGCGUACGACCUACGGGUGAAAGCAGGGGAUCUUCGGACCUUGCGCGAUUGAAUGAGCCGAUGUCGGAUUAGCUAGUUGGCGGGGUAAAGGCCCACCAAGGCGACGAUCCGUAGCUGGUCUGAGAGGAUGAUCAGCCACACUGGAACUGAGACACGGUCCAGACUCCUACGGGAGGCAGCAGUGGGGAAUAUUGGACAAUGGGCGCAAGCCUGAUCCAGCCAUACCGCGUGGGUGAAGAAGGCCUUCGGGUUGUAAAGCCCUUUUGUUGGGAAAGAAAAGCAGCAGGUUAAUACCCCGCUGUUCUGACGGUACCCAAAGAAUAAGCACCGGCUAACUUCGUG
rnacentral:rRNA from 1 species